rnacentral:rRNA from 1 species
CAGUCGCCGCGGGAAAACGGAGGGGGCUAGCGUUGCUCGGAAUGACUGGGCGUAAAGGGCGCGUAGGCGGCGAUCAAAGUCAGGCGUGAAAUUCCUGGGCUCAACCUGGGGGCUGCGUUUGAUACUUGAUUGCUAGAGUGGGGAAGAGGGUCGUGGAAUUCCCAGUGUAGAGGUGAAAUUCGUAGAUAUUGGGAAGAACACCGGUGGCGAAGGCGGCGACCUGGUCCUUGACUGACGCUGAGGCGCGAAAGCGUGGGGAGCAAACAGGAUUAGAUACCCCUGUAGUCCCUGUCUCUUAUAA